rnacentral:rRNA from 1 species
GGGGCUUACACAUGCAGUCGAACGAUGAUCCCAGCUUGCUGGGGGAUUAGUGGCGAACGGGUGAGUAACACGUGAGUAACCUGCCCUUGACUCUGGGAUAAGCCUGGGAAACUGGGUCUAAUACCGGAUACGACCAUCUGGCGCAUGUCAUGGUGGUGGAAAGCUUUUGUGGUUUUGGAUGGACUCGCGGCCUAUCAGCUUGUUGGUGGGGUAAUGGCCUACCAAGGCGACGACGGGUAGCCGGCCUGAGAGGGUGACCGGCCACACUGGGACUGAGACACGGCCCAGACUCCUACGGGAGGCAGCAGUGGGGAAUAUUGCACAAUGGGCGCAAGCCUGAUGCAGCGACGCCGCGUGAGGGAUGACGGCCUUCGGGUUGUAAACCUCUUUCAGUAGGGAAGAAGCCGUAAGGUGACGGUACCUGCAGAAGAAGCGCCGGCUAACUACGUGCCAGCAGCCGCGGUAAUACGUAGGGCGCAAGCGUUAUCCGGAAUUAUUGGGCGUAAAGAGCUCGUAGGCGGUUUGUCGCGUCUGCUGUGAAAGACCGGGGCUCAACUCCGGUUCUGCAGUGGGUACGGGCAGACUAGAGUGCAGUAGGGGAGACUGGAAUUCCUGGUGUAGCGGUGAAAUGCGCAGAUAUCAGGAGGAACACCGAUGGCGAAGGCAGGUCUCUGGGCUGUAACUGACGCUGAGGAGCGAAAGCAUGGGGAGCGAACAGGAUUAGAUACCCUGGUAGUCCAUGCCGUAAACGUUGGGCACUAGGUGUGGGGGACAUUCCACGUUUUCCGCGCCGUAGCUAACGCAUUAAGUGCCCCGCCUGGGGAGUACGGCCGCAAGGCUAAAACUCAAAGGAAUUGACGGGGGCCCGCACAAGCGGCGGAGCAUGCGGAUUAAUUCGAUGCAACGCGAAGAACCUUACCAAGGCUUGACAUGAACCGGAAAGACCUGGAAACAGGUGCCCCGCUUGCGGUCGGUUUACAGGUGGGUGCAUGGUUGUCGUCAGCUCGUGUCGUGAGAUGUUGGGGUUAAGUCCCGCAACGAGGGGCAACCCUCGUUUCUAUGUUGCCAGCGCCUUGAUGGCGGGGGACUCCUAAGGAGAACUGCCGGGGGUCAACUCCGGAGGAAAAGUGGGGGACCAACGUCCAAAUCAUCAUGGCCCCCUUAAGGUCUUGGGGCUUCACGAAUGGUAACAAUGGGCCGGGAACAAAGGGUUUGCGAUAACUGUUGAGGGUGGAAGCUUAUUCCCCACAAAAACCGGGUCUCCAAUUUCGGAAUGUGGGGUUCUGGCAAUUUGACACCCCCUGGAAAGUCGAGAGUCCCCUUAAAUAUCCCGAAACACCAAAACCCUUCCCGGGGUUAAAAAUAUCCCGGGCCCUUUGUAACACCGCCCGCCUCCAAUUUCCCAAAA